UACAGAGGGCGCGAGCGUUGUCCGGAAUCACUGGGCGUAAAGGGCGCGUAGGUGGCGGCAUAAGGCCGCGGUGAAAGGCUGGGGCUCAACCCCAGCUCGGCCGCGGCGACUGUGUCGCUCGAGCACGGUAGAGGCAGAUGGAAUUCCGGGUGUAGCGGUGGAAUGCGUAGAGAUCCGGAAGAACACCAGUGGCGAAGGCGGUCUGCCGGGCCGUGGGACUCGUAAGAGUCCUUAUAGCUGACACUGAGGCGCGACAGCGUGGGGAGCAAACAGG
rnacentral:rRNA from 1 species